UAUUGCCUACGGGGGGCAGCAGUGGGGAAUAUUGGACAAUGGGGGGAACCCUGAUCCAGCGACGCCGCGUGAGUGAAGAAGUAUUUCGGUAUGUAAAGCUCUAUCAGCAGGGAAGAAAAUGACGGUACCUGACUAAGAAGCCCCGGCUAACUACGUGCCAGCAGCCGCGGUAAUACGUAGGGGGCAAGCGUUAUCCGGAUUUACUGGGUGUAAAGGGAGCGUAGACGGCAAUACAAGUCGGAAGUGAAAUACCCGGGCUCAACCUGGGAACUGCUUUGGCAACUGUAUGGCUGGAGUG
rnacentral:rRNA from 1 species